UACGAAGGGGGCUAGCGUUGUCCGGAAUUAUUGGGCGUAAAGAGCUCGUAGGCGGUCUGUCGCGUCGGCUGUGAAAUCCCGAGGCUCAACCUCGGGUCUGCAGUCGAUACGGGCAAACUAGAGUAUUGCAGGGGAGACUGGAAUUCCUGGUGUAGCGGUGAAAUGCGCAGAUAUCAGGAGGAACACCAAUAGCGAAGGCAGCUCGCUGGGACGUUACUGACACUGAGGCGCGAAAGCGUGGGGAGCGAACAGG
rnacentral:rRNA from 1 species